AGAUUGAACGCUGGCGGCAUGCCUUACACAUGCAAGUCGAACGGUAGAGUAGCAAUACUUGAGAGUGGCGAACGGGUGAGUAAUAUAUCGGAACGUGCCCAGUCGUGGGGGAUAACGUAGAGAAAUUUACGCUAAUACCGCAUACGAUCUAAGGAUGAAAGCGGGGGACCGUAAGGCCUCGCGCGAUUGGAGCGGCUGAUAUCAGAUUAGGUUGUUGGUGAGGUAAAAGCUCACCAAGCCGACGAUCUGUAGCUGGUUUGAGAGAACGACCAAGCCACACUGGGACUGAGACACGGCCCAGACUCCUACGGGAGGCAGCAGCGGGGAAUUUGGACAAUGGGCGAAAGCCUGAUCCAGCAAUGCCGCGUGCAGGAAGAAGGCCUUCGGUGUAAACUGCUUUGUACGGAACGAACGGUACUGACGUUUAAUACAGUAGGCUAA
rnacentral:rRNA from 1 species